GACGCACGACGUUCACGUCCGUGCCAACGAAGUACCGUUCGGUUCUUUGUUACUUAACCUAGACAAACAUGGGUCGCAUGCACACUCCCGGCAAGGGCAUGAGCGGUUCCGCUCUGCCCUACAAGCGCUCCUCUCCCUCCUGGCUCAAGAUCACCUCCCAGGAGGUGAACGACAUCAUCGCCAAGAUGGCGAAGAAGGGCCUUACCCCCUCCCAGAUUGGCGUGCUUCUCCGUGAUAACCACGGCGUUGCUCAGGUGUCCUCCGUCACCAACUCCAAGAUCCUCCGCAUCCUGAAGGGCCAGGGCCUCGCGCCCACCCUCCCCGAGGACCUCUACUGCCUCAUCAAGAAGGCUGUGUCCGUGCGCAAGCACAUGGAGCGUAACCGCAAGGACAUGGACUCCAAGUUCCGCCUCAUUCUUAUCGAGUCCCGCAUCCACCGCCUGGCCCGCUACUACAAGCUCGCCAAGAAGCUCGCGCCCAACUGGAAGUACGACUCGGCCACCGCGUCUACCCUCGUCGCCUAAGCAACGAAGGUUUCAUUAGGUUUAGGGUCCGGCGUGUCCUUGAACCUGGGGUUGGUGAAGGGGUUCUUUGGGUUUGGUCGCGCGCGGGGCGUAGCGAUCGAGGGGAUUGAACAUACGAGUGGAACGCCGAUCGGAGCGGCCGGGCGCGUCACCGGAAGGGACGCAUCGGCUGG
rnacentral:lncRNA from 1 species